rnacentral:rRNA from 1 species
CGCUUCUUUCCUCCCGAGUGCUUGCACUCAAUUGGAAAGAGGAGUGGCGGACGGGUGAGUAACACGUGGGUAACCUACCCAUCAGAGGGGGAUAACACUUGGAAACAGGUGCUAAUACCGCAUAACAGUUUAUGCCGCAUGGCAUAAGAGUGAAAGGCGCUUUCGGGUGUCGCUGAUGGAUGGACCCGCGGUGCAUUAGCUAGUUGGUGAGGUAACGGCUCACCAAGGCCACGAUGCAUAGCCGACCUGAGAGGGUGAUCGGCCACACUGGGACUGAGACACGGCCCAGACUCCUACGGGAGGCAGCAGUAGGGAAUCUUCGGCAAUGGACGAAAGUCUGACCGAGCAACGCCGCGUGAGUGAAGAAGGUUUUCGGAUCGUAAAACUCUGUUGUUAGAGAAGAACAAGGACGUUAGUAACUGAACGUCCCCUGACGGUAUCUAACCAGAAAGCCACGGCUAACUACGUGCCA